GGGAGUGUAGCUCAGUGGUAGAGUGUGUGCUUAGUACGAGUGAGGCCCUGGGUUCGAUCGCUAGCACUGCCA
rnacentral:tRNA from 1 species